UACCGGGGUGGCAUGGGGGGGAACCCCCCUGGCCCCAGUUGCCACCCCAGCUGGCAGCCUUCAAUGCAAGAAAAAAGUUUUAGUUCACUGGACAUUUUACGCGAGUUAACUCUGAUGUCCGAUUGCAAGUGUAUGCAACACCUGAUGAGUCGGCCCCGCCCCUCCCCCCACGGUGAUGACUGCAGGAGGACUUGGCACAGCUGACCGCAAGGAGCAAACAAGAUGAUCCAGAUGUGGUGGAUAGAGAGAGGCCUCACAGCAGAAAUGAUGAUGACAGGGCAAAACAGGAGAGCAAAUGGCAGAACGGCCUCAGAAACCCUUACAAAGCAACAGUAUGAUUAUGGAUAGACCAGCAUAUAUGUUCCAGAGGGGACUCCAGAGAGGACUGUGGCCCCAUUGCAGAGGUGGAAAAGUACCAGACUAUUGUGCCCAAGUAACCGUACAGUAACUGUGGCUAAAAAUUACUUGGGUAGAAGUAAAAGUACUGGUCUAUAAAUCUACUCAAGUAAAAGUAAAAAGUAAGUCAUUUAAAAUUUACUCAAAGUACUGAGUACUGAGUAGCUACUUUUGAUAUGCAAGGGGCUUUCACAGUAAAAUAUGACCUGUCCUUAAUGUGUAAUAACAAGAAGAAAAUAUGGACCUUCAACCAGGUUAUUUGAUAUAAUGUUUGACCUAACCUAAAGUACAACACAGCAGCUGUUUAGGGAAGAAAUAUGGAAUCAUUCUCUUGCUAUAUGCAUGUACUGACCAUCAUGUGAUGUGAAAGCCAAAUGACUGGUCAUUUUCCUGUUGACUGAAAGCUUGGACCUCCUUUUGGCUUUUAGUGUUUAUUUUUUUACCUUAGUAUUUGAUGCUUUUUAAAAUGUCAUUAAGUAAAAUACUUCACUCAAAGAAUUCUUAAGUAAUAUUGAUUUUAAAAACUACACAAAAAAAGUACAAGUACACAAAAAGCUACUCAAUUACAGUGAUUUGAGUAAAUGUAAUUAGUCACUUUCUACCCCUGCCCCAGUGUCAACAUAAACCACUUCAACCCAGCCUUUAUAAGCCACACAUGGAUGAGAACUGUAUACUGUUAUGUUGUUGAGUUUCAGUGCACCUUGCAUCCCUCAUUUUUAUACCACACAAUCAAGAGGGGGAUAGUUGGAGACAGACUGGCACUAACUGACUGACUUACUAGCUUGUUUAUCGAUAAGGACUAAAAAAGCUGAGGAAAGGUGCUUAAGUUAGGAGAUUCAAGUGAAUGUCCUUCACCUUUCAAGUUUUUAGUUAUCAAAUGUCAGUUUACUAUUUUCAGUUUAGAUUUCAUUUUCAUAAAUGCUCUGGG